CCUACGGGAGGCAGCAGUGAGGAAUAUUGGUCAAUGGCCGGAAGGCUGAACCAGCCAAGCCGCGUGAAGGACGAAGGUGCCAAGCAUUGUAAACUUCUUUUGUCAAGGGACAAAAUCAGGCUCGAGAGCCUGCCCGAGGGUACUUGAAGAAAAAGCAUCGGCUAACUCCGUGCCAGCCGCCGCGGUACUACGGAGGAUGCGAGCGUUAUCCGGAUUUAUUGGGUUUAAAGGGUGCGUAGGCGGCUUGUUAAGUCAGCGGUAAAAUCCCGGGGCUCAACCCCGUCGAGCCGUUGAAACUGGCUGUCUUGAGUGGUCGAGAGGUAUGCGGAAUGCGCAGUGUAGCGGUGAAAUGCUUAGAUAUUGCGCAGAACUCCGAUUGCGAAGGCAGCAUACCGGCGGCCAUCUGACGCUGAGGCACGAAAGCGUGGGAAUCGAACAGGAUUAGAUACCCUGGUAGUC
rnacentral:rRNA from 1 species